AGCAGGAUUACCUUCAUGACCCCUAGCCACCCCACAGGCAGAUUGCCAUCCUUUGAAGACUCUGCAUCUGGUCCUACCCUCAUGACACAAUGGAUGUCCCCCUCCCCACAGCCGUGCUUACAUUCUGUGGUUAUCACCAGGGCUCUUCCCUUGUCUAUGCCCUCCCUCAGCAAUGUCCUCCUCUUGAUACUCCCUGUGCAAACCACAGCCUUGGUAAGAGUUCCAAUUGCUCCCUAGAAGGCACCUGCACCUGCCACCCCAAUAAGGCUGGCUACAUUCACUUUCAAAUCCAUGACCACAAACCUCAAGCGGGCUCAUAACAUCCUGGCAAUCAUACAACACUUAUCCCGGUUAAUUUCUCUCCUAAUUUUCCAGCCAGUUAUUUCACAACCUCUGCUUUCCGCUCAACCCUCCCAACACUUCCUCCCGUUCACUCUCACUCCGAGUUGAUGGAUUUCUUUCCAAGUGCAUUGUGAAUAUUGACGCAAUCAGCAGAGAAAUUGCACGACUCCUCCAACCCCCCCCCACACACACACCCAUGCAUCCUUCUCUAAAUCCACACUCUGGCUUCCUGCCUGCAAUUAGGGAUGAAUCAUCUAUGCUCCAUCAAAGCCCAGCCCUCGGCCUGCUCAUUUGAUCCCAUCCCCGCUCAUUACUCAAGGACAUGGCUCAGGAACCCUCCCUGCCAGGCUCCAGCAGGCUAGCCUCAAGUUCACAAUGAAGCCAAGGAUGACCUGGAACUCAGGAUUUUCCAGCUUUGACCUCCUGAGUGCUAAAAUUAAAGAUCUGCAUCAUCACUCCCAGCAGAGAAAGCAUCUUUAAAGGUACAAAUGUGUAUGUGAGCGCAGUAGUGUGCUGAGGUUAGAGGUGCUGAAUCUUCCAGAUCUGGAGUUACAGACAACUGCAAGCCAUCUGAAAUUUAUUUAUUUACUAUGUAUACAGUGUUCUGCCUGUACACCAGAAGAGGGCACCAGUUCUCAUUUUAGGUGGUUUUGAGCCACCAUGUGGUUGCUGAGAACUGAACUCAGGACCUCUGGAAGAACACUCACUGCUCUGACCUCUGAGCCAUCUCUCCAGCCCAAGAUUAAUGUCUUGAUAGCCAAGAACCUUAUUUAUCUGCCUUUCUGAGUUUGUUCUCUUUAGUCAGUUGUGCUUUCCAAAAUCAUAUUUUUGUUGGGUUCUGAGUAAUGAAAAUUAAUAGAUGGAUUUCUCAUCUAAGUGCUAAAAAUAUACAGCAUGAAGAACAAUUAAAAAAUAACUCCAACUGAACAACUGUUGGCUCAUCACUUAUUUGGUAUAUGCCAUAGUCCAACAAAAAGAUUUUGCAGCCGUUUCUGGAGGAGGAAAUAUAUUUUCCAAGGAGUAUAUUGUUCACCUUCUGGUUUAUGAAU
rnacentral:lncRNA from 1 species